UGGCUCAGGAUGAACGCUAGCGACAGGCUUAACACAUGCAAGUCGAGGGGCAGCACAGGUAGCAAUACCGGGUGGCGACCGGCGCACGGGUGAGUAACGCGUAUGCAACUUGCCUAUCAGAGGGGGAUAACCCGGCGAAAGUCGGACUAAUACCGCAUGAAGCAGGGAUCCCGCAUGGGAAUAUUUGCUAAAGAUUCAUCGCUGAUAGAUAGGCAUGCGUUCCAUUAGGCAGUUGGCGGGGUAACGGCCCACCAAACCGACGAUGGAUAGGGGUUCUGAGAGGAAGGUCCCCCACAUUGGUACUGAGACACGGACCACACUCCUACGGGAGGCAGCAGUGAGGAAUAUUGGUCAAUGGCCGAGAGGCUGAACCAGCCAAGUCGCGUGAGGGAUGAAGGUUCUAUGGAUCGUAAACCUCUUUUAUAAGGGAAUAAAGUGCGGGACGUGUCCCGUUUUGUAUGUACCUUAUGAAUAAGGAUCGGCUAACUCCGUGCCAGCAGCCGCGGUAAUACGGAGGAUCCGAGCGUUAUCCGGAUUUAUUGGGUUUAAAGGGUGCGUAGGCGGCCUUUUAAGUCAGCGGUGAAAGUCUGUGGCUCAACCAUAGAAUUGCCGUUGAAACUGGGGGGCUUGAGUAUGUUUGAGGCAGGCGGAAUGCGUGGUGUAGCGGUGAAAUGCAUAGAUAUCACGCAGAACCCCGAUUGCGAAGGCAGCCUGCCAAGCCAUUACUGACGCUGAUGCACGAAAGCGUGGGGAUCAAACAGGAUUAGAUACCCUGGUAGUCCACGCAGUAAACGAUGAUCACUAGCUGUUUGCGAUACACUGUAAGCGGCACAGCGAAAGCGUUAAGUGAUCCACCUGGGGAGUACGCCGGCAACGGUGAAACUCAAAGGAAUUGACGGGGGCCCGCACAAGCGGAGGAACAUGUGGUUUAAUUCGAUGAUACGCGAGGAACCUUACCCGGGUUUGAACGCAUUCGGACCGAGGUGGAAACACCUUUUCUAGCAAUAGCCGUUUGCGAGGUGCUGCAUGGUUGUCGUCAGCUCGUGCCGUGAGGUGUCGGCUUAAGUGCCAUAACGAGCGCAACCCUUGCCACUAGUUACUAACAGGUUAGGCUGAGGACUCUGGUGGGACUGCCAGCGUAAGCUGCGAGGAAGGCGGGGAUGACGUCAAAUCAGCACGGCCCUUACAUCCGGGGCGACACACGUGUUACAAUGGCGUGGACAAAGGGAAGCCACCUGGCGACAGGGAGCGAAUCCCCAAACCACGUCUCAGUUCGGAUCGGAGUCUGCAACCCGACUCCGUGAAGCUGGAUUCGCUAGUAAUCGCGCAUCAGCCAUGGCGCGGUGAAUACGUUCCCGGGCCUUGUACACACCGCCCGUCAAGCCAUGGGAGCCGGGGGUACCUGAAGUCCGUAACCGAAAGGAUCGGCCUAGGGUAAAACU
rnacentral:rRNA from 1 species